GAAACGGUAGCUAAUACCGCAUAACGUCGCAAGACCAAAGUGGGGGACCUUCGGGCCUCACACCAUCGGAUGUGCCCAGAUGGGAUUAGCUAGUAGGUGGGGUAAUGGCUCACCUAGGCGACGAUCCCUAGCUGGUCUGAGAGGAUGACCAGCCACACUGGAACUGAGACACGGUCCAGACUCCUACGGGAGGCAGCAGUGGGGAAUAUUGCACAAUGGGCGCAAGCCUGAUGCAGCCAUGCCGCGUGUAUGAAGAAGGCCUUCGGGUUGUAAAGUACUUUCAGCGGGGAGGAAGGCGGUGAGGUUAAUAACCUUGCCGAUUGACGUUACCCGCAGAAGAAGCACCGGCUAACUCCGUGCCAGCAGCCGCAGUAAUACGGAGGGUGCAAGCGUUAAUCGGAAUUACUGGGCGUAAAGCGCACGCAGGCGGUCUGUUAAGUCAGAUGUGAAAUCCCCGGGCUUAACCUGGGAACUGUAUUUGAAACUGGCAGGCUUGAGUCUCGUAGAGGGGGGUAGAAUUCCAGGUGUAGCGGUGAAAUGCGUAGAGAUCUGGAGGAAUACCGGGUGGCGAARGCGGCCCCCUGGACGAAGACUGACGCUCAGGUGCGAAAGCGUGGGGAAGCAAACAGGAUUAGAUACCCUGGUAGUCCACGCCGUAAACGAUGUCGACUUGGAGGUUGUGCCCUUGAGGCGUGGCUUCCGGAGCU
rnacentral:rRNA from 1 species